rnacentral:rRNA from 1 species
GACGAACGCUGGCGGUGUGCUUAACACAUGCAAGUCGAACGGUAAGGCCCUUUCGGGGGUCCACGAGUGGCGAACGGGUGAGUAACACGUGCGUAGCCUGCCCUCAUCUCUGGGAUAACAGUCGGAAACGGUUGCUAAUACUGGAUAUGAGCCUGCAAGGCAUCUUGUGGGUUGGAAAGAUUUUUUGGUUGGGGAUGGACUCGCGGCCUAUCAGCUUGUUGGUGUGGUAGUGGCUCACCAAGGCUUCGACGGGUAGCCGGCCUGAGAGGGCGACCGGCCACAUUGGGACUGAGAUACGGCCCAAACUCCUACGGGAGGCAGAAGUGGGGAAUAUUGCACAAGGGACGGAAGUCUGAUGCAGCAACGCCGCGUGCGGGAUGACGGUCUUCGGGUUGUAAACCGCUUUCAAUUGUGACGAAGCUUUUUGUGACGGUAGCAGUAGAAGAAGCACCGGCUAACUACGUG